UCUGCUGUGGCUCCUGCUGCUCGCCCUUGGCACAGAUGUUCCAGCCCAUGUCCUCAGUCUCCUGUUCACAGCAGCAUCCUUGUUCUUCUCCUUGCUCCUUCUCCAAGGUUGUGGCUUCCUCUGGGAUGGGCACAGCAAGCCCUCAGUUUCCCCAUCUCCGCGCUUGCUCUGCGCAAUCCCUCUGUGCCCCCACUUUUGCCCUUCAGCAGUUGUUGGCAGCCCCACGCUGACUUGCAGUGGUGCGUGAAGAGCAGCGGGAGGCUGGGAGCAGCAGUGGCCUGCAGGAGAGCUGCCACCAUGCUGGCAGCUGGGGAAAGGGACGGGCGAAGGAGCAGUGCCUGGCUGCCUCCAUGUGUGUGUCCUUGUGGGAAAGGAGCAGGCAGCAGGGGAACAUGGUCAUGGCCAAACCCUGUAAUCCCCAGAGUCUGUGAGCUGCAACAUCACCUGCACUUCGUCCUUGCGGAAGAGCUCUGGAAUCUUUCCGUGCUCCCUUCGUUUGCAAGCAAAUUGCCUGCAGCCGCAGGAGGAUCCGCUGGGAAGGCAGCUUGUCAGGAAGGCAGCUUGUCGUCGCUCCAGCUGUGAGAGGCUGGGGCUGAUAAUCUGCCAGCCUCCGAACUUGUUUACAGCUGUCAUGAAAAGACUGUUUUAUUUCAAUCUGUAGAGGAGAAUGAUGAAAUCCAUUACAUCCGAUACUCUAAAAACAUCUAUAGCACAGCUUCUGAUUCCCAGGAGUGAAAUUGGAAGGGCUUAAAUUGUGGAAAUGGCUUGUUUGGUGAAGUUACAGCCCUAAAUUGAAGCCAUCUGUGAUGCCGUGCAGUUUCUGCCAUCCAGUACAUUCCCAAGCUGUCCGCUGUGCUAAAUCAUCUCCCCAUGCAGACGUGCUCGUAUCACUGCUCGCUGUGUCCAUAGCUGGUGUUAAACAGGAAAAGGGCAGUGCAACAGCAGGGAUGAAAGGGAAUUUACCAGCUGUUGGCAACCCACAUCAGAUCAUCAUUUUAAAUGAGUUAUUCAGGAUAUCGUUAGAGAUCCUCAACAUACAGACAAGAGGAAAAAAACAGCUUUAAGACCUUGUCUUGAAAGGAUGCUAACGCAGGUGUGCUUAUCUCAGGUCACUUUGGGAAAACAUGAGAGUGGUUCAGUGGUGGUACCCAGCCAGUUCCUAUUGCUGCCCCAAAGCCAUCGUCUGAGUGGAGGAAUGCAAGGAGAAACAGAGAUGCAGCUCUCAGCGUGCACAACUCCCUAAAAGGGGUUGGAAAUGCUGAAAACCCACAGCCUGCCCUGUUCCCAUGGCAACAGGAGGAUGCAUCCAAAAGGACAAAGUUUGAAACACUCCCACAGAUGAGCUGGGAUUUUGUUUUUGUAACUCAAUUAUAUAUUAUUAUAUCUUGUGGCUAUAAUUUUAAUAGAUUUCUAAACUUCUUACAAACAUUUUGCAGGUUUAUUUUUACCUCUCUGGUGCAAAAAAACAAAUUAGAGGAAGUCAAAAAAAAAAAGCAAGAAGUUGGGAGUCAAAUGUCAGUGCAGCUUGGAUCUCCUCCUCACGCAGCUCCGGUUGUAUCUGUUUAGAAGCACUAGAUUUGCAUAUUCAUGUCCCUUAAUUUGCUCUUUGGAUGCGGAAAUCUAAUAAUUAGUGAAGAAAAUGUUCCUGUGUGGAGGGAAACCCUGGUUAUGCAACAGAUGCAUUAAGAAAACUAAUCAGACAUAACUGUCCAUCCCCAAGAAAAGGCUGUCUGGAAUUAAAAGCUUAGCAAAGACA